GAAACCCUUCUCUUUCCAUUUCUCUCUCUUUCCCUCUUAACGUUUUUGAGGUCUCUCUCUCUCUAAACCUAAUACAACGUCGACGUUACCAACAGUGCAGGGAGGAGUCACCGACGUCGUCCACACCCAGAACCACUGCUGCCGUCGCCAGUUAUCAUCAACAUUUGAGGUUCUUGACCAGUUAUUGUAACUGCAGCAGAUGAUGCACCUGAUGCAACUAAAGGCAGUUGCUUUCCCUCUGUCACAUUUAAUUGUUUUGCAAUCUCCAUCACUGCCACUGUUGAUGCAACCAGCUGUUUGUUUGCAGCAACAUCACCAACCUCAACAACUUUUUCAUGCUCACCCUCUCCAUCCUCUAAAGCUGCAACAACCAGUUCUUUCCCAUCAUUAGCAUCAGUUGGUUUUUCUUUUGUCGCUGCUAGUUGUUGCUGAUUUGCACCUUCUGCUACAACUGGUAUAUUUUUACCCUUGUUAUUUUUCCAUUUGUAGACAAUCCAAGGUGGAUGAUGUAUAUGAUUUAUGAUUUGGUGUGCCACAUAUUCUGGGAGUUAUUUGCUUUGAUUUCAAUCUUACACUUCUUGAAGACUGUGAAUUUGUUUC